AGAGAUGAGUUCUCCCAAUCUAAGAGAUUGUAAGGGUUGUUGUAGACUACGACGUAGAUAGGUCUGGUGUGUAAGUGUAGUGAUACAUUGAGCUAACAGAUACUAAUUGCCCGAGAGGCUUAACUAUACAACGCUCAAG
rnacentral:rRNA from 1 species